AACGAACGCUGGCGGCAGGCCUAACACAUGCAAGUCGAACGCCCCGCAAGGGGAGUGGCAGACGGGUGAGUAACGCGUGGGAACCUUCCCAGUGGUACGGAAUAACUGACCGACAGGUUGGCUAAUACCGUAUACGCCCGAAAGGGGAAAGAUUUAUCGCCAUUGGAUGGGCCCGCGUCGGAUUAGCUAGUUGGUGAGGUAAUGGCUCACCAAGGCGACGAUCCGUAGCUGGUCUGAGAGGAUGAUCAGCCACACUGGGACUGAGAAACGGCCCAGACUCCUACGGGAGGCAGCGGUGGGGAAUAUUGGACAAUGGGCGCAAGCCUGAUCCAGCCAUGCCGCGUGAGUGAUGAAGGUCUUCGGAUUGUAAAACUCUUGCGCCGGGGAAGAUAAUGACGGUACCCGGAAAAGAAGCUCCGGCUAACUUCGUGCCAGCAGCCGCAGUAA
rnacentral:rRNA from 1 species